rnacentral:vault_RNA from 1 species
GAGCCAGCUUAGCCUAGCGGUUCCUUCACAAUUUGUUAAAUUCGUGUUCAACUCUAGCUCCUAGCAGUUCAAGUCCCGCGGGCGCUGUCUGGCUUUUGA